rnacentral:rRNA from 1 species
CACGUAUGGGGCGAGCGUUGUUCGGAAUUAUUGGGCGUAAAGGGCACGCAGGCGGACAAGCAAGUCUGGUGUGUAAGACCGCAGCUCAACUGCGGGAACGCACUGGAAACUGUUUAUCUAGAGUUCAAGAGGGGAAGCUGGAAUUCCAGGUGUAGGGGUGAAAUCUAUAGAUAUCUGGAAGAACAUCAGUGGCGAAGGCGAGCUUCUGGCUAUGAACUGACGCUGAGGUGCGAAAGCGUGGGGAGCAAACAGG